rnacentral:rRNA from 1 species
GACGAACGCUGGCGGCGUGCCUAAUACAUGCAAGUUGAGCGAUGAAGAUUGGUGCUUGCACCAAUUUGAAGAGCAGCGAACGGGUGAGUAACGCGUGGGGAAUCUGCCUUUGAGCGGGGGACAACAUUUGGAAACGAAUGCUAAUACCGCAUAAUAACUUUAAACAUAAGUUUUAAGUUUGAAAGAUGCAAUUGCAUCACUCAAAGAUGAUCCCGCGUUGUAUUGGCUAGUUGGUGAGGUAAAGGCUCACCAAGGCGAUGAUACAUAGCCGACCUGAGAGGGUGAUCGGCCACAUUGGGACUGAGACACGGCCCAAACUCCUACGGGAGGCAGCAGUAGGGAAUCUUCGGCAAUGGACGAAAGUCUGACCGAGCAACGCCGCGUGAGUGAAGAAGGUUUUCGGAUCGUAAAACUCUGUUGGUAGAGAAGAACGUUGGUGAGAGUGGAGAGCUCAUCAAGUGACGGUAACUACCCAGAAAGGGACGGCUAACUACGUG